rnacentral:lncRNA from 1 species
AAGCAAGCCAGGGAAUUAAUGCAAAAAGGCUCAAGCUUCUGUGCCCCUGGGAAAUGGCAGAGGAAGACAGCUUCAGCCUCAGAGCACACAGCACUGAGUUGUAAGAAACAGGUCUCAUCAUCCCCUUGGCCAGCAGAUUUUCACCCUGGGCCCACUAAGAAGCCUGCCAGGGGGUCCUCUGUUGUCUGGACCCUGAGGCUUCAUCCUCAAUGUGUUGGAGCCUAGGAGAGAGGAUUAGAGUUAUGCGAGUUUCCCAACGGUGCAGUCUCUACUCACCGCAACCUCUGCCUCCCGGGUUCAAGCAAUUCUCCUGCCUCAUUCUCUUGGGUAGCUGGGAUUACAAGCAUGCGCCACCACUCCCAGCUAAUUUUGUAUUUUUAGUAGAGAU